rnacentral:rRNA from 1 species
GACGAACGCUGGCGGCGUGCUUAACACAUGCAAGUCGAACGGACCUUCGGGUUAGUGGCGAACGGGUGAGUAACACGUGGGUGAUCUGCCCUGCACUUUGGGAUAAGCCUGGGAAACUGGGUCUAAUACCGAGUAUGAUCGCUGGCUUCAUGGCUGGUGGUGGAAAGCUUUUGCGGUGUGGGAUGGGCCCGCGGCCUAUCAGCUUGUUGGUGGGGUAAUGGCCUACCAAGGCGACGACGGGUAGCCGGCCUGAGAGGGUGACCGGCCACACUGGGACUGAGAUACGGCCCAGACUCCUACGGGAGGCAGCAGUGGGGAAUAUUGCACAAUGGGCGCAAGCCUGAUGCAGCGACGCCGCGUGAGGGAUGACGGCCUUCGGGUUGUAAACCUCUUUCGCCAGGGACGAAGCGCAAGUGACGGUACCUGGAGAAGAAGGACCGGCCAACUACGUGCCAGCCGCCGCGGUAAGAC